rnacentral:rRNA from 1 species
GUCCAUGACGGUACCGUAAGAAUAAGCACCGGCUAACUACGUGCCAGCAGCCGCGGUAAUACGUAGGGUGCAAGCGUUAAUCGGAAUUACUGGGCGUAAAGCGUGCGCAGGCGGUUAUAUAAGACAGAUGUGAAAUCCCCGGGCUCAACCUGGGAACUGCAUCCAAAACUGGCAAGCUAGAGUAGGGCAGAGGGU